GGAGCUGUGGCUCAGUGGCUAAAUAUUUGCUUGACAUACAGAAGGCCCCAGGUUCAAUCCACUGACAUCUCCC
rnacentral:tRNA from 1 species